GUUGUUUUAACAGGUAAUUCGCGCUCCUAAUUUUCUCUGAGCAGUAAAUUAUGCUUGGUGAUUUAUUGUGUUUACUGUUUGGUUGUUCAACUGUUUUGGGCACCAGUGUCUUGUUCUACCGGUGCUAUGAAAAAACAACUGACGAGUACAGUGACAUAGAAUCAGGGAAUGCGACGAACCUGAUAAAUCUAUUCAACAACGCGUCACUCUCCUUAACGGUUUUCGUUCCCGGUUGGCAGGAGGAUUGUCGCAACAAGAGCUCAUUGACGAUCACGUCAGCUCUACUAUCACUCGAUACUGGUGGACAUAUCUGCUGCUUUGACUGGAGCGCAAUUUCUAAGCUCGAUUACGUGUCAGCUGCGGUCAAAGUGCCGGAAGUCGGAAACAUCUUGGGCAGAGAUAUGGCAAGCAUUUCGGAUAUGGGUUUUGCGAUAGACCAGCGUUGGUUUAUCGGCUUCUCAAUGGGAGCACAUGUCGCUGGAUGUGCGGGGCAACAUCUAAUUCAAACAAAUCAUUCACGACCCACACGAAUUACUGGCCUGGAUCCGGCUCUUCCACUCUUCUAUCCGCCAUUCAACGUCCAUAACUCCUGCCGUUUGAAUUCUUCCCAGUCUAAUUUGGUCGACGUCGUGCAUACGGAUGGCGGAGUUUAUGGCGUUCUUGAUCCAAUUGGAACCUGUGAUUUCUUCCCCAAUUCGGGAGUUCGUUACCAAAAAAAGUGUCCCUGGUUACCAAACACAUUUAAUAUCAAUGAAAUACUCCCAACAUAUCGAUGUAGCCAUGACAGAUCUUGGAUGUAUAUGGGAGAGGCGAUAAGAAACAAGAGCUCACAUUUAGCGGUACAGUGCGACGAUGCUGAAGAUUUUUACAACAAUUCUUGUAGUGGGAAUUUGAUAGUCGCGCUGGGCUUUUACCUCCACUUUAAAUCGUGCUCUGGAACGUAUUACUAUGAGACAAACGGAGAGCCUUUCUAUGGUAGGGGUAAAAAGGGCACGUACCCCAACAGCUCUUAAUUUUAGUUCAUCGUAACGUGGGAAAGAGAAUUAAGCAGAAAGUAUGAUUCGAACCUUGAAUAGCAUACGUAAGCCGAAGAGAAACGAAGAUAGAGACGGUCAAACUACCUUAUAAAAACCAAAUACACUUGCAAGAACUGAAUAAGAUAAGUUGAUCCUGAUUGGAUCACAAAACUCGUAAAUAGAGGAAGUUCGGUAAUUUUAAUCCUACAAGGUUGGCUGAAGGCGAAGGUUUUGAGAACACAUGCAGAUCGAAAUAAAGAGUGAGAUUCAUUUUAAUGAUUCGCUUUAUUCCGCGUUUAGAUCAGUACUGAGGAUGCAGCUGAUGUGAGAGAAUCACGAACAGUACUUAGAACUAAGGCAAUAUUCAGGAAGGUAUGAAUUAGUGCCUCAGUUACCCAAGAUGCAAAGCGCGACUUUGGUCAGCUGAGCUUAGUGGAGUGAAAAUUUUUACGGUAAGAUGACUUUGAAAAAUGCCUUCCCCCUAGUCCCUCACGCUACUUCAUAGCGCAAUCGUCCAAUCUGCCAGCCGUCAAUUUCCAAUUUCGCCGAAUAGUUCAUAGUUUUUGUACGCAAAGCUGACAGUUUGGUAGCUGAAACAACUGUGAUAGGCAAGGGGACAGUUCGACAGAGUUUCAGCCGUCUGCUACAGAUGGCACGGGAAUCGCGCCACACACGGAAUCUUUUGGGCACGGUCUUAUAUACAGGUCUGGAAACUCCAUUGGAGGGGAUAUGUCGCUUAUUGAAGCAAUUUUUGUGUUCAGUAGUCGCCACUAGGUUCGUUACGAUCUUAUUAACAGCGGCGGCGGGGCCGGGAGGGUCCAGACAAGACCGUGGUAUUCGCAUAUAGGUAUAGGUAAGAAAUGUAAGUUCGAACUCUUCGCAGGCGACGAAAUGGUUAUGUGUAAAGUGAUAAUAUAGAUUGCGUAGUACGAACUUUGAACGAAAUCUUGAACUUACUGGCAAACUGGUUGAAUAGAAACCCACUGAAAUCGAGGUAAUGGCCUAUUUGCACACAGUACAUUAGCCCACAGCAACUUUAGCCGACGGUACUUUUACGUGCCAUUUGUUUGUGCAAGGCCUGUACCCUGUUAGCACAUGACCCCGUUGCACACAAGAAUUUUAAAAGAUGGCACUAUUGCACACAAUAUUUGUGUACACUAGUUUUGAUGUCCGGUGUGCUGUAGCUAUCAGCCAACUCCCAUAACUCCUACAAAAAAUUUGAGAAGGUGACUGUGACAGGGUUCGAAAGAGUUAGGCUUCCACACUUCCAUACAUAGAUACACUAUCUACUGUAGCUACGAAACAUUCAAUCUCCGUACCCCUUAUAAUAAAUUGCAAAAGGUGACUGUGACAUGGUUAAAAAGAGUUAGGCUUUCGUGCACUGCGACUGAAAGAUAUAUUUCACAGCCAAACCACUUAUAAAAAAAGUAACACAGUUGACUAUGAUAGGGUUAGAUAUAUUUUUUCAUACAGGAUCUUCCUCAUAUUUUUCACCUCAAAAAUUUUCCCGCCUCACCAUGGAUAGAAGUGUUGUGUGCAGAAGUAUCAUAUGCAAUGGUGCCAUAUGCAUAAGUGUCGUAACAUCGAAAUUUCAGUGUACAAAUGCGUCGUGUGUUCACGUGUGUCGCAGUCGUGCACAAACAAAUGGUGUGUGAAAAUGCCACGAGCUAAAGUUCAUGCGGGUUGAUGCGCCGUUUGCUAAGUGUACCCUCUCAAAAUCGAUAUAAAAAUACAGUUUCAAUGUGAUGUGAAUCUAGGAAAAACGAUCUUUAUAACAGCUUUGAUAUUUGCGUAGGAAACGAUAAAAUCUAAGAAGUUGAAGAAACUAAAUAUUUAAGCAUAAUGACGAAACGACACUUUACUUUC
rnacentral:misc_RNA from 1 species